AAAAGAACGUCGUAAUCGAACGCUGUGAUGUUUGUAAACAAUAGCAUGCAGUGUCCAGUCAGGGGUGUAGAGCGAAGAACCUAUCAAACCUUCACGGUGUGAGCAUCUAAAGUAACCUUAAUCGUGCAGUGAACAUAAGAAUUCAAUGGACACUGAACUGAAUCCAGAACCAGGGGAAAAAACCUGGAACUUUUUAUGAAAUAAUAUACGAUUCCCAAUCAAACAGAAGACCAAAAGAAAAUAGUGACAGCGAGCAAGAUCCAAAUCACAAGCAUCCAAGAAAACCCGAAAUCGGCAAGAACAUCACGGAAGCCCAACUGACCACAUCCGAAGACUCAACAGUAAACAGAAUUGUUUCCUUCAGAGAAAAGAAGGCAAAAUAAGAGUAAAGAUUCAAGUAACGAGAGGAAGAAACUCAAAAGAAGAUGAAGACUCGGGGUCUGAUGAAACCAACGCCUAAGAUAGAAAAAAAGCGGGCAUCAAGUCAAGGUCAGAAAAUGGUGGCUCCACUUAAGCUGAAAUUAAUGACCUUUGUUGAUCCAGAAGUCAGAAGAGGUCAGAGUGGAGAAAAUAUGCCUUACUGUUAAGUCAAAGCACCCACCCAAAUACAAGAGGAAAAGCAGUUCAAACCAGGAAGGCAGAAGAAGAGAAAAACAUAUGAUCCCCACGGCAGCAAACCGAAGCAUGUUACCUUCAGUGAGACUGAAGAGGAGAAUGUGCACAUAAUGCUGCAUUGCUUUGAGAGCUUUGACUGGCUGGAUCAACUUGAAAAGCCACAGAGGAAAGUUGUUGUGGAUAAAAAAAAUGCGCUCCAGAUAAAAGACCCAUUCCAGGCAAUGACAUAUAGGGAAUAUCUACAGAGGUUUAGGCUAAACAAGGAAAGCACACGUCAUUUCAUCCAGCAAGUGCAUCAGAAUCUUCCAAGAGCUCAGAAUGGUCAAGAAUUGUGUACCACCUCAUCUGCAAGUACCUAACAACCAGUAACCAUCAGUUAACAAUUGAUGACCGAGAUGUGUCUCAGACUUUGUCAGUACCUGUGUUGGAAGAGUAGUAAGGAGAAUAGCUGGGUGGAGUGGAUCAAAAUGACAUCUGGAAAUGAAACAGGGUUGGUGCCAGAGGGGAGGCAGGGAGCUGCAGGGAGCCAGACCCUCUUCAGAGAAAAUACAGUUUGCCAAGGAAUAUUCAAAGGAAAAGACAAGCUUCAUUUGCGCAUGAAUGUUUAUCAGUAUAAAUGUUUUGAUCUUUCCUAACCUUGAUGGAUCAAGGGGCUGUUGCUCAAGAGUUGAUUAAUUUUAUUAGCAAAUUAUUAACAUAAUCAAAGAAAAUGAAUAAGAAACACUGAGUAAUUUAAAGAUUCAGGUAGGGAUGACUGGGUAUGAUUUGAGAGAGAGAGAGAGAGAGAGAGAGAGAGAGAGAGAGAGAGAGAGAGAGAGAGAGAGAGAGAGAGAGAGAGAGAGAGAGAGAGAGAGAGAGAGAAAUAUGGAAUGUUUGAUAUCCAAGCAAUGCACCACCCCAAUACAGUUUGUUGAUGUUGAUUCAAAGGACAAAACAUGCAAUGACAUGCUUCUCAAUGCAAAAUACCCCCCCUAAAUUCUUACUUUACUGGCAUAUAGAGUAGAUGCCCAUCAAUCUAUAGCAGGAGCAUGAAUAAGGAUCAAACUCUAAUGUGAAUAAAGACACAAGCUUCAAAUGGUUCUGGAAAGCAACAAUGUUCUUUAUAGUGCCAAUGUUGUUUUGAAGAACAUGUGCAAGCAUGAAAGUAUGUUUAUGCGCUCAUGUAUGCCAGACGAAUAGGCAAAUGUUUUGAGAUCUGGUGCUGGAACAAUAACAAUGGGGAAAACAAAUUACCAUUACCAUUUUCUGUGGCAAAAAACUAAUAUUUUGCCAUAAUAGUAACAAAAAACUUAUGGCAUGCCAUGGCAUGUACAAAUAUGCCACCCAGCAGCUAGGGGUUAAUCUGUACCAUGAUUACUGCAGAGUUUGAGAAUUCCCUAGUCCCUGGCUAGAGAAAAGAAUAGGUUAGGUCUAAGGGUUCACGGGCUGGAUACUCAAAACAACCCUUAAGUUACAAUGUUGAAGACGUUGUAACCGCCUUACUACAUUGUACUUUACGAACUCCUUGCUAUAUUUAUAUUGUAAGUGCCCCAUACUAAAAGCAACAACAACAACAAUAAUGCCAUGGAAGUUACAACUCAAAAGAAAAGAAGACCAAAUUUCUCAGAUGAAGAGAUGUUGGCUGUAAUAGAAGCCGUGGCAACAAAGAAGAAUGUGGUUCUAGGUAAAUUAGAUAACAGAAUAACUGCACAAGUGAAAAAUAACACCUGGGAGAGUGUGAAUAAGGAGGUGAAUCUUGUUGCUUGCAUACCGAGGAAUGUGAAUGAAGUGCAUAGGAAGUUCACAGACCUCAGAGCAGCCGUCAAAAAAAAGGCAGCACAAGAGAAAAAACACAUGGGAGGAACAGGUGGUGGCCCAGCAGUUCUCACAAACUACACUCCUGUUGAAGAAGCUAUGCAGACUGAUUGAGCCUGUUGCUAUUACUGGCUUAGUAGGGGUUUAUGAAAAUGAGACAAGUUGAUGAUGUUACAGAACUAACUCCUGGGCCAUCUGGGAUAGCAUCUCAGAUCAUAACACACUCAGCAGUUAUUGUAACAUUGGAUGAGGGCACUUCAGAGGAGCAAGAAAUAACAAUACCCAGUGUGUCAAUGGACCCCACUUACUCCUCAGAAUUACCUCCUUUUUUAAUAGAAGACAGUAAUGCUCAAGAUGGAUUUAGUGCAACAGCCCUUUCAAGAACAGAGCAGGCCAAGGUCUCAACUUGAGUCAGAAGGAGGUAGUGCAUGGUCGUAAAAGCAGACCAGAGGAAAGGAGAAUUUUGCCUGACAUGCUUCAGGUACAAAUAUAGAAAGUCACUUGAAACAGCUUGUAAGCUCAGUGAAAGACAUUGCAUCAGCAUUACAAACAAUUGCUGGUGUUAUGAAAGAUAGGGUAUAAGUUCCUAUUUUUAUCAAAUGUUAUAUUUUUUAGUUUUUUCCCAUACAAUACUAGUCUUAAUCUACUCAGUUAUAGCACACAGUUGACAUUAAUUUGUGAUAGGCAUUUGUAUAUUUAACAGUCAUAAUAUUAAGUUAUAGCUUGAGAGACUGUUAUUAUACAAAAUAAGUCUUUAUUUUGGAAUUACUAUAUUAUUUUUGUAUUGUAGAUUAAGGCAAAAGUCCAUUAAAUAUUAUUUAUUUUUUGUUCACAUUAAUAUUUGCAUUGAGGUUGUGAGAAGUGUCUUUUUGUUAUGUUGUAGAGUAAGAC